GUAAAAUUUUUGAUUUCUGUCGAGCCGUUGACGAGAUACACCACUUUUAAUUUUCGGUUGGAGAAGAGUAGUGGUGCUUUAUUAACUAUUAAAUGUUUUAGAAAACAAAUUCCGGAAAAUGUUAAUACUUUACGAGAUUAUGAGUUCACCCACUUAAAUGAAUUACCUGAUACGGAUGAUAGGGAGAAAGAACUAUCCGUCUGUCUGUCCUUAUAAUAAUACGAUUAAAUAGGAUAGUACUGUUACCGAUCAUAUAAAAUCAAUGCUUGAAUUGAGUGUGGGGGACUCGGAGGGAUGGAAUACCUUUUAUUUUCAUAAAA